GGGUUGUGAGGUUAAGCGACUAAGCGUACACGGUGGAUGCCCUGGCAGUCAGAGGCGAUGAAGGACGUGCUAAUCUGCGAUAAGCGUCGGUAAGGUGAUAUGAACCGUUAUAACCGGCGAUUUCCGAAUGGGGAAACCCAGUGUGAUUCGUCACACUAUCAUUAACUGAAUCCAUAGGUUAAUGAGGCGAACCGGGGGAACUGAAACAUCUAAGUACCCCGAGGAAAAGAAAUCAACCGAGAUUCCCCCAGUAGCGGCGAGCGAACGGGGAGCAGCCCAGAGCCUGAAUCAGUGUGUGUGUUAGUGGAAGCGUCUGGAAAGGCGUGCGAUACAGGGUGACAGCCCCGUACACAAAAAUGCACAUAUUGUGAGCUCGAUGAGUAGGGCGGGACACGUGGUAUCCUGUCUGAAUAUGGGGGGACCAUCCUCCAAGGCUAAAUACUCCUGACUGACCGAUAGUGAACCAGUACCGUGAGGGAAAGGCGAAAAGAACCCCGGCGAGGGGAGUGAAAAAGAACCUGAAACCGUGUACGUACAAGCAGUGGGAGCACGCUUAGGCGUGUGACUGCGUACCUUUUGUAUAAUGGGUCAGCGACUUAUAUUCUGUAGCAAGGUUAACCGAAUAGGGGAGCCGAAGGGAAACCGAGUCUUAACUGGGCGUUAAGUUGCAGGGUAUAGACCCGAAACUCGGUGAUCUAGCCAUGGGCAGGUUGAAGGUUGGGUAACACUAACUGGAGGACCGAACCGACUAAUGUUGAAAAAUUAGCGGAUGACUUGUGGCUGGGGG
rnacentral:rRNA from 1 species